GGACGGGUGAGUAAUGCUUAGGAAUCUGCCUAUUAGUGGGGGACAACAUCUCGAAAGGGAUGCUAAUACCGCAUACGUCCUACGGGAGAAAGCAGGGGAUCUUCGGACCUUGCGCUAAUAGAUGAGCCUAAGUCGGAUUAGCUAGUUGGUGGGGUAAAGGCCUACCAAGGCGACGAUCUGUAGCGGGUCUGAGAGGAUGAUCCGCCACACUGGGACUGAGACACGGCCCAGACUCCUACGGGAGGCAGCAGUGGGGAAUAUUGGACAAUGGGGGGAACCCUGAUCCAGCCAUGCCGCGUGUGUGAAGAAGGCCUUAUGGUUGUAAAGCACUUUAAGCGAGGAGGAGGCUACUUUAGCUAAUACCUAGAGAUAGUGGACGUUACUCGCAGAAUAAGCACCGGCUAACUCUGUGCCAGCAGCCGCGGUAAUACAGAGGGUGCGAGCGUUAAUCGGAUUUACUGGGCGUAAAGCGUGCGUAGGCGGCUUAUUAAGUCGGAUGUGAAAUCCCCGAGCUUAACUUGGGAAUUGCAUUCGAUACUGGUGAGCUAGAGUAUGGGAGAGGAUGGUAGAAUUCCAGGUGUAGCGGUGAAAUGCGUAGAGAUCUGGAGGAAUACCGAUGGCGAAGGCAGCCAUCUGGCCUAAUACUGACGCUGAGGUACGAAAGCAUGGGGAGCAAACAGGAUUAGAUACCCUGGUAGUC
rnacentral:rRNA from 1 species